rnacentral:rRNA from 1 species
UACGUAGGGUGCAAGCGUUAAUCGGAAUUACUGGGCGUAAAGCGUGCGCAGGCGGUUUCGUAAGUCUGUCGUGAAAUCCCCGGGCUUAACCUGGGAAUGGCGAUGGAGACUGCGAGGCUAGAGUUUGGCAGAGGGGGGUAGAAUUCCACGUGUAGCAGUGAAAUGCGUAGAGAUGUGGAGGAACACCGAUGGCGAAGGCAGCCCCCUGGGUCAAAACUGACGCUCAUGCACGAAAGCGUGGGGAGCGAACCGG